rnacentral:rRNA from 1 species
UUGCUGGAUGCUGACGAGCGGCGGACGGGUGAGUAAUGCAUAGGAAUCUGCCCGAUAGUGGGGGAUAACCUGGGGAAACCCAGGCUAAUACCGCAUACGUCCUACGGGAGAAAGGGGGCUUCGGCUCCCGCUAUCGGAUGAGCCUAUGUCGGAUUAGCUAGUUGGUGAGGUAACGGCUCACCAAGGCCACGAUCCGUAGCUGGUCUGAGAGGAUGAUCAGCCACAUCGGGACUGAGACACGGCCCGAACUCCUACGGGAGGCAGCAGUGGGGAAUAUUGGACAAUGGGGGGAACCCUGAUCCAGCCAUGCCGCGUGUGUGAAGAAGGCCCUCGGGUUGUAAAGCACUUUCAGCGAGGAAGAACGCCUAGCGGUUAAUACCCGCUAGGAAAGACAUCACUCGCAGAAGAAGCACCGGCUAACUCCGUGCCAGCAGCCGCGGUAAUACGGAGGGUGCAAGCGUUAAUCGGAAUUACUGGGCGUAAAGCGCGCGUAGGUGGCUUGAUAAGCCGGUUGUGAAAGCCCCGGGCUCAACCUGGGAACGGCAUCCGGAACUGUCAAGCUAGAGUGCAGGAGAGGAAGGUAGAAUUCCCGGUGUAGCGGUGAAAUGCGUAGAGAUCGGGAGGAAUACCAGUGGCGAAGCGGCCUUCUGGACUGACUCUGACACUGAGGUGCGAAAGCGU